GCCAAAAAUCUAGCCCAUAAUAUUUUUAUUACACCCCCUAAACCCCACAUCACUAAACAAAACAUUUUAUACUUUUUAGUAAAGGAGAUAGAAAGAUUUUUAGGAGCAAUAUAAAUAGUACCGUAAGGGAAAGAUGAAAUAAAAAUGAAACAAACACUUAAGCACAAAAAAGUAGAGAUUAAACCUCGUACCUUUUGCAUCAUGGUUUAACUAGUCUUUAACAAGCAAAAUGAAUUUAAGUUUGACCUCCCGAAACUAAGCGAGCUACUCAAGGGCAGCUUUAUGAGCCAACCCAUCUCUGUUGCAAAAUAGUGGGAAGACCUUUAAGUAGAGGUGACAGACCAAACGAGCUUAGUGAUAGCUGGUUAUCCAACAAAAGAAUUUUAGUUCACCCUAAAGCCACAAAAAAGUCAUUAAACUAACCUUCAUGCUUUAGAGUUAUUCAAAUAAGGUACAGCCUAUUUGAACUAGGAUACAACCUAAACUACUGGGUAACAAUUUUAUACUACAAAAGUAGGCCUAAAAGCAGCCACCUUUUAAAUAGCGUCAUAGCUUACCUGAUCUUCUUAAACUAAUACCAUAAUAAACUAUUAACCCGUUACCACUACUGGAUUAUUCCAUACAUAUAUAGAAUAAAUUAUGUUAAAACUAGUAACAAGAAGAAAACCCUUCUCUUAAAUGCAAGUGUAAGACAAAAGGAUAAACCACUGUCAAUUAACACCCCUAAACCCUAAUUAGCAACUCUACAAGAAAACCCUAUUUUAAUUAAUGUUAAACUAACACAAGCGCAUUUCAAGAAAGAUUAAAAAAACAAGAAGGAACUCGGCAAACCUUAACCCCGCCUGUUUACCAAAAACAUCGCCUCUUGAAACUAUAUAAGAGGUCCCGCCUGCCCAGUGAACUUAUUCAACGGCCGCGGUAUCCUAACCGUGCGAAGGUAGCGUAAUCACUUGUUCUUUAAAUAAGGACUAGUAUGAAUGGCACCACGAGGGUUACACUGUCUCCUUUUUUAAAUCAGUUAAACUAAUCUUCCCGUGAAGAAGCGAGGAUAAUAUUAUAAGACGAGAAGACCCUAUGGAGCUUUAAACAAACAACACUUGCUGCAAACCCUUUUCUUUAUAAAGUUUAGCACUAUGAUUACAAAGUUUUCGAUUGGGGUGAUCACGGAGCAAAAAACAACCUCCACGUUGAAUAGGGCUUUAUACCCUGAGCAAUAAGCCACAACUUUAUGCACUAAAAAAUUAACAUGCAUUGACCCAUAAUUUUGAUCAACGAACCAAGUUACCCUAGGGAUAACAGCGCAAUCUGCUUCAAGAGCUCCUAUCGACAAGCAGGUUUACGACCUCGAUGUUGGAUCAGGGUAUCCAAGUGGUGCAGCCGCUACUAAUGGUUCGUUUGUUCAACGAUUAAAACCCU
rnacentral:rRNA from 1 species